rnacentral:rRNA from 1 species
UACGGAGGAGGCAAGCGUUAUCCGGAAUUAUUGGGCGUAAAGCGUCCGUAGGUGGCUCUUCAAGUCUGCUGUCAAAGAGUGGGGCUUAACCUUGCCAAGGCAGUGGAAACUGAAAGGCUAGAGAGCCGUAGGGGUAGAGGGAAUUCCGGUGUGAGCGGUGAAAUGCGUAGAGAUCGGGAAGAACAUCGGUGGCGAAAGCGCUCUACUGGACGGUAUCUGACACUGAGGGACGAAAGCUA